rnacentral:rRNA from 1 species
AUAUCUUAUACACAUGCGUGAGCGCACCAAACACCUAAAAUUGUAAUACCACCAGUCACUAAGUUUUAACAAAACAAAACUUUCAACAACGGAUCUCUUGGUUCUCGCAUCGAUGAAGAGCGCAGCGAAAUGCGAUACCUAGUGUGAAUUGCAGCCAUCGUGAAUCAUCGAGUUCUUGAACGCACAUUGCGCCCCAUGGUAUUCCAUGGGGCAUGCCUGUCUGAGCGUCGUUUCCUUCUUGCGCAAGCAGAGUUGAGAACAGGCUAUGCCUUUUUCGAAAUGGAACGUCGUGGACGAAGUGAACUAAAUUUUUAGCACGCUUUGGCCGCCGAACUUUUAACUAAGCUCGACCUCAGAUCAGGUAGGAAUACCCGCUGAACUUAAGCAUAUCAAUAAGCGGAGGAAAAGAAACCAACAGGGAUUGCCUCAGUAGCGGCGAGUGAAGCGGCAAGAGCUCAGAUUUGAAAUCUCACCUAGUGUGCGAGUUGUAAAUUGCAGGUUGGAGUCUCGGGUUAGACGUGUGUGCAAGUCCCUUGGAACAGGGUGCCACUGAGGGUGAGAGCCCCGUAGCGUGCAUGUCGACACCUGUGAGGCCCUUCUGACGAGUCGAGUUGUUUGGGAAUGCAGCUCUAAGUGGGUGGUAAAUUCCAUCUAAGGCUAAAUAUUGGCGAGAGACCGAUAGCGAACAAGUACUGUGAAGGAAGAUGAAA